GAGUUCCCUUUCCAAAUUUGCAGUAAUAUGGGAACUCGGAGGAGGAGACAUGUUUUUGUUUAGUGAAACGGCAAUGUCAUCAAGAGAAACCUUCGUGUAAGAGAACCACCAAGCAUUUUGUUCGGGAGCUGUUUCAUUCAUUAUAGAAACAAGAGGCAGUGCAGAUGACCUUGGAGAUCUCUCCGCAGCAUCGUUCUUUUGUUCCGGGAAAGAACAACGAAAUCCUGAAACGCAUCUUGCAGCUUACUGCCACAAAAUACUCGUGGAAUUAUUUCCCGGAGGAUACUCGUGUCAUUAUAUGAGAUAGCAGUAUUUGACACUGUGGCCUGCACAAGGCAGAGGGACAGACGUCCCCCUCGGAGUCAAACCACG